rnacentral:rRNA from 1 species
GACGAACGCUGGCGGCGUGCUUAACACAUGCAAGUCGAACGGUAAGGCCCUUCGGGGUACACGAGUGGCGAACGGGUGAGUAACACGUGGGUGAUCUGCCCUGCACUUCGGGAUAAGCCUGGGAAACUGGGUCUAAUACCGGAUAGGACUCCUGGCUUCAUGGUUGGGGGUGGAAAGCUUUUGCGGUGUGGGAUGGGCCCGCGGCCUAUCAGCUUGUUGGUGGGGUAAUGGCCGACCAAGGCGACGGCGGGUAGCCGGCGUGAGAGGGUGACCGGUCACACUGGGACUCGGAUACGGCCCAGACUCCUACGGGAGGCAGCAGUGGGGAAGAUUGCACAAUGGGCGCAAGCCUGAUGCAGCGACGCCGCGUGAGGGAUGACGGCCUUCGGGUUGUAAACCUCUUUCAGCUAUGACGAAGCGCAAGUGACGGUAGUAGCAGAAGAAGGACCGGCCAACUACGUGCCAGCAGCCGCAGUAA